AACCGGUUCUAGCACGAUCACCCAAGUUAAGCAACGUUGAGCCUAGUUAGUACCUAGAUGGGUAACCGCUUGGGAAUACCAGGUGA